UAUAAAAUAAAACCAAAAUGCUGGACGAUGACGAUAUACCAAUGACAGCUUGGCGUUCAUUUUUAUCAAGUAACUUCAUAUUAAAAAAUCUGUGUUACCAGUAUUUAUACACAUUGGCAACUCCUGACCAAAUCGUAAAUGUUCCAAUACAAAACCUCAAUUGGACUUCACAAACUUUUUUGAUACCAACCAAGCAUUCUCUUUUGUCUUGGUCUCGAGCUACCAUAAACCAGAGGAACUCCUUGUUGCGGAACCAAUGGCGAAGCUGGGUUGAGAGUGCCGACUCCUGCCGACAAUUCAGUCAGCUCUACUGUUUGCGUGCCUUUGAAACCCGACUGACUCUGGACGUGAUAGCCUACGAGUACGAUGAUCAAAUCAGAGAAAACAACCUCUGGAGGGCAGUUGGUUUCAACUUUGCCGGCUUGGACUUUAGAAGAACAAUGGAGCAAAAUAUAGCCAGAGAGUGUCACGAAAUGUUUCAUCCAAUGUACAAAACACACAAUUUAUUCUACGGUUCUCUUGGAUGUUGCAAAGGACAAAGUCAUAAGUAUAGGGAGCACGGGUUUGCCCGAAUGAUGAUGUCAAUAGCCGAAUAUGCUUCGAAACUCACCGAUUAUUCCGAGCAAGGAAAAGAGUUGAAUUACAUCCAGGCGUUUUUUUUGAAUACAUGCAGGCUCAAUGUGAUAACAAAGAUCGGCUUCGGAAUUGGCGAAUUGAAAAGACAGAGUCAUCCCUACCUUGUAGGAUCUCAUCCUCCUGGUUUCAAUUAUAUAUUGGGCAUUGACCAUAAUGAUUUCGACAUCGAGAUACCCUAUGAAAACCCCGGGGAUUUUUUAACUUUCAAAUGGUUCAAACACAAUGUUAUUUGCCGUGAGCAGCCCUGGAUUUGUGACCAAGAAAGAGGAGAAUAACGUGAAAAUCAGAUGAGACUACUGCCGCCUAUACCAGCAGUUAGCAGCGUUGAUUGACUUAGAAGACGAGAAGUCUUUAGUUGGCAUGGAAGGACAAUGAAAGCUAAAUUCUAAUUUUCGAUUGUCAAUCAAUAAGGUAUCAAAGCAUAUGGAUCUCAAUUGAUGGCCUGUCUUACUGUUUGCUAGGCCCACAAACAUGCAAUAGCUAAGAUAAUUUAAAAUAAUGAAAACCACUGUAAUUGGUAA